rnacentral:lncRNA from 1 species
UUGCAAGCUGUUCUGUUAAGACCCAGGCUGCCUGCUAUCUCCUGUCUUUGUUCCUCACCUCAUUUUGAAGGAUUGUUACACAUUUCAGUGACCUCACAGCUUGCUGAUCAUGAAUCAAGAAUUAACCCUGAAGAAAAUGUAUGGGGAGAAUGUGGCCUCAAACUGAUUCAGAGAAGAGUUAAAAAGAGGAAAUGGACAGCAAACACUCUUCCAGAUUGAAGAAAAAGCAUCCAGGGACUUCCUUUUACAAACCAG